CCCAUUUUAUCCUCAGAAGAGGGACAGCGUGGGCAAAAGCAGUGCAAGCUUCCCCAAAGUUAUCACUGUGCCUCAACCUUGACUUCUCUCUGUCUGGAUUACUGAG
rnacentral:sRNA from 1 species